AGUGAACGCUGGCGGUAGGCCUAACACAUGCAAGUCGAACGGCAGCACAGUAAGAGCUUGCUCUUACGGGUGGCGAGUGGCGGACGGGUGAGGAAUACAUCGGAAUCUACUUUUUCGUGGGGGAUAACGUAGGGAAACUUACGCUAAUACCGCAUACGACCUACGGGUGAAAGCAGGGGAUCUUCGGACCUUGCGCGAUUGAAUGAGCCGAUGUCGGAUUAGCUAGUUGGCGGGGUAAAGGCCCACCAAGGCGACGAUCCGUAGCUGGUCUGAGAGGAUGAUCAGCCACACUGGAACUGAGACACGGUCCAGACUCCUACGGGGGGCAGCGGUGGGGAAUAUUGGACGAUGGGCGCGAGCCUGAUCCAGCCAUAUCGCGUGAGUGCAGAAGGCCUUCGGGUUGUAAAGCCAUUUUGUUGGGAGAGAAAAGCAGCUGGUUAAUACCCCGCUGUUCUGACGGUACCCAAAGAAUAAGCACCGGCUAACUUCGUG
rnacentral:rRNA from 1 species